rnacentral:lncRNA from 1 species
GUACUGCAGCGGACCAUGCUGCUAAAAUAUUUACACCCGGUGCGGUGAUAUCGGGCUGCCAAAAGCAAAAACUGUGACCAAAAGAAACCGAGGUGUGAGGUACGUAUACAUACCUUGAGAAUGUCCAGGUUUUCUAUGUGAGGUCCUCUUGAUGAAAAGCCAGCGACUGUGGGUGCAGGUUCAACAUCGAGUACUGUUUUGGUUGGAAAAAUCGUGGCUGCUGUCGAGUUGCUGCAAGGCGUUUUUGCAACGUUAGUUUCUCAUGGUUCAUAAGGAUCGUACUAAACAAGCACCUUGAACUCGUGUAGGCAAGCAGAUCUUUCAACGCUGCUUUCUUGAUGAAAGCUCCUGGCAGAGGGAAGUAUCGUACUAUAUCCGCGAUCACAUCAUUCCCGAGGAUCACUCCAGCAGCUCCCCAGUUGUUGAGGCUUUUUAAGAGUAUGAUUGUCGGGAUCACCAAAGGAUCAAAUUCGCACACAAUAAUCUUUCCUUUUACUUUUGCCGGAUCCAGAACCGUCACAAGACAAAGACUGUGGAGGUAAAAUGUCAGUUUACUUUCAAGAAAGAAGACACUACGUAACCUUGCUUGUGUGGAAUUUGCAGAACUUAAGCUUGCAUCUUUACCCAAGAUCAAAGAAGCGGAUGUGAUGUUCUCGAAGUUGAGAGCUGUGCCCUGUGAAAGACAAAAAGGUUUGAUCUUGCUUAAGACAAAAGAGAGUUCUUUCUUACCUGUAGAGUUUUACCGUUGCCGAGUUCGAUGUCUACUGAAAAAUGUCUGUCUAUAGUGCUCGCAGCGACCGUGAGAAUCCAAGGUGCACCAUUGGACACAGAGGAUGCAGCCGGCCCGGAGUUUCCUCCCGCGCAUGAUACCAAGAUUUUCC